AGCAGUGUGGCUUAGAGGAGAGAUCAUUGGCCUAGGAGUCAAAAGGACCUGGUUUCUAAUCCCAGCUCUGCUA
rnacentral:tRNA from 1 species